rfam:Salmo salar isolate Sally breed double haploid chromosome ssa11, whole genome shotgun sequence.
UGAAUGCACUAACUGUAAGUCGCUCUGGAUAAGAGUGUCUGCUAAAUGACUCAAA